GGACUACAGGGGUUUCUAAUCCUGUUCGCUCCCCACACUUUCGCUCCUCAGUGUCAGGUAAGGCCCAGAGAACCGCCUUCGCCACCGGUGUUCCUCCCGAUAUCUGCGCAUUUCACCGCUACACCGGGAAUUCCAUUCUCCCCUACCUACCUCUAGUCUGCCCGUAUCCACUGCAAGUCCAGGGUUAAGCCCUGGAUUUUCACAGCGGACGUAACAAACCACCUACGAGCUCUUUACGCCCAAUAAUUCCGGACAACGCUCGCGCCCUACGUGUUACCGCGGCUGCUGGCAC
rnacentral:rRNA from 1 species